rnacentral:rRNA from 1 species
CGUAGGGGGCGAGCGUUUGUCCGGAAUUUAUUGGGCGUAAAGAGCGUGUAGGCUGUUCGGUAAGUCUGCCGUGAAAACCUGAGGCUCAACCUCGGGCGUGCGGUGGAUACUGCCGGGCUAGAGGACGGUAGAGGCGAGUGGAAUUCCCGGUGUAGCGGUGAAAUGAGCAGAUAUCGGGAGGAACACCAGUAGCGAAGGCGGCUCGCUGGGCCGUUCCUGACGCUGAGACGCGAAAGCUAGGGGAGCGAACAGGAUUAGAUACCCUGGUAGUCCUAGCCGUAAACGAUGGACACUAGGUGUGGGGGAGUCGAAUCCCUCUGUGCCGCAGCCAACGCGUUAAGUGUCCCGCCUGGGGAGUACGGCCGCAAGGCCA